UACAGGGGGGGCAAGCGUUGUUCGGAAUUACUGGGCGUAAAGGGCUCGUAGGCGGCCAACUAAGUCACACGUGAAAUCCCCAGGCUCAACCUGGGAACUGCGUGUGAUACUGGAUGGCUUGAAUUCGGGAGAGGGAUGCAGAAUUCCAGGUGUAGCGGUGAAAUGCGUAGAUAUCAGGAGGAACACCGGUGGCGAAGGCGGGUCUCUGGGACGGUACUGACGCUGAGACGCGAAAGCGUGGGGAGCAAACAGG
rnacentral:rRNA from 1 species